GAAGUUAUAAAUAGCCAAUGUAAAUGUCUCCAGGAUUCAUAAUACUUAAGCUGACAUUUUUACAAAUUGUGGAGUUACUGGAAGUAGAAUAGAAUGAUGCAUCAAUACUGACAAUUGUAAUUUAGUUUCUCCAUGCUAGAGAUUUUAAGUUGCAUUGUCAAAUCAAGGGUUGAUUGUAUACAUAUAGGACCAUGAUAACAUAUUUAAAGAUGUGCUAUGCUCAUUUUCACUAAUGGAACAUAGUGGACAACAUGCUAGCAGACAGACAGAAACAUUUUGGUUGACUGUUGAUUCAAGGUUAUACUGUGGUAUGUUGAGGUGACUUCUGCUCCAAAAUUACCAGUACAAAACACAGGAAGAAAUUAAGCAGUGGAAGCCUGAUAUUAAAAACAUAUUAUUUAUUAAUUAACAUUUGUGUAGAGUGUGUUAUGUAAAUGGAAAAUGUGUAUAUCUUACACAGUAUCUAGACAGUAAAACUUGAUCUCAAAUAGAAGAAAUUUCAAGAAUACUGUAUGGCUUACACCAAAAUUAUUGACAUAGAUAUAACUAAUGAGUUUUAGCUGAGUGAUUCAAACUUUAUUAUCUGCAUCAUAUAGUCAAGUGCACUGUUUCUUUUUAGUUACGAACUUUAUUUGCUUGUGGUAAAUUACUGUUUGAUGCUAUGUUCACUAGUAAGUCAGUCUGUCAAAUAUUGUUCAGUCUAAAAUACUCAUUGAGAAGUGUUUCUAUACUUAUCAGAAAAAUCUUAGAAUAUAAGGAAAAACUUAAUAUUUAAGAAAUAUUUUUUAUCUUAGUUGCUUCGUGAAUACGGCCCCAGUUGUUAGUUUGUAUUUAUAAAUAUCAAGAGACAUGAUGCUAGGGUGUUUUUUGAUAACGCUCCCAUUUUCCAUUAAGAGCUUAAGUUUGCCUACGCGCUGCAGUGAUCUGAUUUGUGUGUUUGUUUGUUCGAGUUUUAUUAGGUUUAAGCAUAUUUUAUUGCAAUCGAAUAUGUUUUUUUUGUAAAAUGAAAUGUAAACCAUGCAUUAUCAUAACAUGGAUAAAUGGAAGUUUGAAAAUCAUUCAAAGUUACUUAUUGAAAUCGGAAGCAAAAGGAUUGGGCUAUGAGUGUUUUCCAACAAUAGCUGACCCUCAAACAAGAGCAGGUUAAAGUAACAGAUGGAUCCAUAAUUUAGUAAAAACACAUAUUGCUACAUAGUGAAGAAUCAAACUCCUACGCAAUGAUUUCCUUUGCCGCUUCGCUCAUUGGUCACUGUCAACAAAAAAUAUCUAAAUUCAGCUUUGUGGACGACUUUUUAUUUAUAUAAUUAUUUAGUUAAUUUUUCCCAAUAUUCUCGAAGUUUACCCUUCAUCUAACAAAGGCGAAUGUUCCAUGAUAGAAGAAAUUCUAAAUGAAAAUGGGUAUUUAUUUACACGACUGGCUAGUAUCCUGAAACGAAACUAAAAGUAAACAAACGACUAGGUGACGCCGUUCACGAUUAUAAUGCUGCCCUUGUAUAUUUACCAACAUAAAUGUGUUUUGCUGUAAUAUAGUUCAUCUAACAUAGAAGCUAGUAGUUAAGUUUCAAUGCUGUUGCCGCUAUGUAUAAAGUAUGAUAAACAAUAAGAAGGAAUCCAGCUUUUGUUCUAUCAGAUCUAUUCUGUCUCUAUUCCCCUUUAAAGGAAGCCAAUCCAGUUUAAAAUAAUGAAAUUUCUUGAAUCUUAAUUCUUAAACUGUAAUAUAACAAAAUGAACUUAUAGAAUACUGAGUCCGAAAACCUGGAGAGCGUAGGAUACAGCUAAAUUACGUCUUCCAUUAUCAUCAGUUUACGAAUUUUAUGAUGAAAUAUACUGAACAGGCCUGUUUUCCAACAUUAUCAGUCUCUCACCCUUCUAUCUCCAUGUUUUAUCUCUCACUAUCGUUUCAUUAUUGAUGUGUUUAUACUGUUUGAGCAACCCACGUACAUUUAGCAACAGAAGUAUGUUUGAUAUAUACGUUUUUUUGUCUAUCAUCCACUAUAUAAUUACUAAACGUACCUGUGAAAUCGGUUUCCAUUAGGAAAAGUUCCGUCCUUAAAACAUGCUUAAGAAGAUUGAAACUAUAUCAAAAUACGUUUGAAUAUUAAUUUCAAAUAAAGGGAAUGAUUGUGCAUGGUAUAACACCUGCAGAACCACAAGGGUAUAGAUGGUACCCUUAACACCUUAAGUGCAUUAACAGUGAUAUUUGUUUGUUUGAAUUAUGCAAAUCAUGCAAGAUAUGUGGACAUUGCAGCAAUAUUUCUCAUUAUCCAGUAAAUAACUGCAUGUAACUGUUCAAAACAGUAAUUACAUGAUUUAUGCUUAUAAUCUAUUCUAUAAGGUUGUAAAAUUCAGCUCAUUUCCAUUUGUACACUUCAUUGUUUAUAUUAUUAUUUCUAAUACUGAAAUGUACAGCCACAUUUUUACAUUUACAUUGUACUGAUCAAGUUUGUUAUUAUUUGAUUCAUGAAACUGGGUCAUAUUUUUCUGAAAGAAUGACCCAGAUGUAUCAAUGAAAUUCAAUUUUUACCGAUCUUAAUGAUAUACUAAUUAUGCAAAUAAGUUGGUUGCUAUCGCAUCCAGAUGCUUAAAAGAAAUGCUGCAUCUUAGCCAAAAUAUCAUAAGCUUUAUAAUUGUGUGAUAGCAUCCUCUGUAAUAAUCUUUUAUAAACAUUAACCAUCCAAGAUACUUGAUUUAAGCUAAAUCGUAGGGAUACGGAAACGUAAACAAAUGAAACAUUGUAGCUGAAUUUACACUAUAAUUAUGCCAAUUACUGACCCUUAUUUAUUCUAUCUCCUGUUUUUGUUUUUCUAAUCAACCAACUGUUUAUUUGAUGUAAAUCUACGGAGUGUAAUUGUAUAUCUAUAUUAUUGGAAAACGUCACAGAAAUCAAUAUUUGAUCUUCGAAAAAGAACUAUAAAUAUACAUGUAUAAUGUAUUGAAAUAGUUUCAAACAGUUUUAUACUUCUGUCCCGGGCUACCUAUACUUCAUAUUAUUCACCACAGACUGUGCGUUAGAUGUCCAGCCGGACCGCCUGAGAUAUUGAUCAAAUGUAGAAUGUGAAAACACUUCCACAUGGUUAUCCACGAACGACAAAGCUGAUUGUAAAAUAUCUAUAAAAUCUGUAAGAAGAUCCUUUGGAAACAUAGAAUGCAACCAAGCCAAAUAAUAGCAGACUCGGUCAGAUUGAGUCUGUUAAUGAGAGGUAGUGGAAGUGGAACACCCCUGACACCUUCUAGCACCGGCUUAACUCAGGCAUUGAACGGACUCCAUGAUCACAAAGGAACAGAAAAUAUAACAACACUGAAUCCAAAACAUAUUCUGUCAACGUGAAUGUAUAACGUACUUCAAAAAACUAUAUGUAAACCUGUAUGUUUCUGGAAAGAAUGUUUAGUGCUCUAAACACAUCAAACGAUACUGAUCCUACAACUUUAGAUAACAAACAGAUAAAGGGCAAUAUCUUUUGAAAGUGAAUAAAAUGUCAUCGAUAUUUUAAAAUUGACAAUGAACACUACUUAGUUUGUAUUUUAGUUCACUAAAAUGUAGAUAGUCGUCUUUUUGGUAUAUUCAUUAUUAUAUGUAUUUCCACUACAUACAUUCAUGCUGCAUUUUAAUGAUUUAAUGAAGCUGCUGUAUGUACUGUUUUGGAACUGCACCACAUAGAUUAUAGACAU